GGAAGUAAAAAGUCGUAACAAGGUCUCCGUAGGUGAACCUGCGGAGGGAUCAUUACAGAGUUCUCGCCCUCGCGGGUAGAUCUCCCACCCACUGUUAUCGUUACUGUGUUGCUUUGGCGGGCCGCCGGGCCCCGCUCGGCCGCCGGCUCCGGCUGGCGCGCGCCCGCCAGAGGCCCAGCAAACUCUGAAUGUUAGUGUCGUCUGAGUACUAUAUAAUAGUUAAAACUUUCAACAACGGAUCUCUUGGUUCUG
rnacentral:misc_RNA from 1 species